GGGGCAUUAGCUCAGCUGGGAGAGCGCUACACUGGCAGUGUAGAGGUCAGCGGUUCGAACCCGCUAUGCUCCA
rfam:Brevibacillus sp. CF112 PMI08_contig_131.131, whole genome shotgun sequence.